UUUCAGGUUCAGUAUCUUGCCCAUGCAAAGACACUUCGACAUGCAGACUGGAGGAGUCGGGGAUCGAAAAAAAACAAUCUUCACGAUUAGCAGACGAUGCUCUCUGCCUCCUGAGCCACAGCCACCUACACCUCUCAACCAGUAUGAGCCUUCACAGCUCACGUCAGGUGAGAGGUCAUGAUUCACACUCACUCCUGGGCUGCAUGUCUUUGGACUGUGGGAGGAAACCGGAGAACCCGGGGAAAACCCAUGCAGACACGGAGAGAACAUCCAAACUACACAGAAAGGCCCGCCUCCUGUGAGGUGACAGUGCUCACCACUCCACCACCGUGCCCAUUCAUUUAUAAAUAUAAAUUAUGUUUAUCACAUUCAUAAUAUAUAUUUAUAAAUUAAUCUGUUGUUAGGAUUUAAAGUAGAGUUGUAAUUUGUAGGGAUUAUAGUUUAGAAGGGAGGAGGUACAAUGUGGUUGCAGUAGGGCAGUGGGAUGUUAGGGAGGCCUAAUUUCACAGCGAUGAUGAGUACACCCACAUUCACUAGAAGAGUAGCAGAGCGCCACCAGAAACUUCUGCUGCAAAAUACAGAAGCUAGAGACCCUAGUAGGCUCUCACCGCUCUGAUCCUCAGAUGUAGCAUCAUGGAAGAUGUCAUCGCUCUGAUCCUGAGGUGUAGCGUCAACGAAGAUGCCGUCGAUCUGAUCCUCAGAUGUAGCUUCAAAGAAGAUGUCAUCACUCUGAUCCUCAGGUGUAGCGUCAAAGAAGAUGUCAUCGCUAUAAUCCUCAGGUGUCGUCUCAAAUGAGAUCUCAUCUCUCUGCUGCUCAACGCUAGCUAGUAUCUCCUCCUCUGUCUUCGCCUCUAGCUGGUCUGUAAGAUCAGCGACCUUUUGCCUCAGAUCGGUUGUUAGGAUGUGAUAGUCAACUAACUGUUCCUGAUUAUAAGCGAUUUGCCUGGUUUGGUUCGUUAUGUGCUCGUCCAUUUUGUGGAUUUGUUCAUUAUCCACCUCCACUUGGAUCCGAAGAUCCCGUUCAGCUUUCUGUAGGUUUCUCUUCUCCUCAUUUAGUUUUGCUGCCAGAGACUCAAGUCGAGUCAGCUCAUUGGUUGAGCUCUUGUUCUGCUCAGUCAGAGAGACUACACUUUUCUGAAGAUCAUGCUUUGCUCGACUCAGCUUUUCUCCAGCACAAGUCAGCUUCUGGAUUUCCUCAUCUUUAUCACUGAUGAGUUUAUGAAGGUCAAGCAUUGUUGCCUGACGUCCAGCCUCUUUUUGUCUCAGAGCUUCAAGGUGGGCCACCUUCCCAAUCAGGCGCUGGUUCUCAUCAGCUGUGAUUGUCUCCUUUUCCUGAACUUCUUUAAGUUUUUCCCGCAGAUCCUCUGUCUCGGCCCGAUUUUGGAGUAUCUGAGAUUCAUGCUGGGCCAGUUCAUCACGAAUGGUCUUAUCCUGCCUGUUCAGAUAGUCAUCUCUUUUUUCCCGAUCCUGCACUUCUGCCGAUAGGUUUUUGUUCUUCUUCUGCAUCGUCUGGUUCAGGUGUGUAAGUUCGGCUAUCUUCUCUAACAACUCAUGUUUGUCUUGCUGAGCUGCAAAUUCCUUGCGGUGACAUAGUCCCUUCAGAUCAUCAUUCUCUGCUUGGAUUACGUUGUCCAGAAAUUGAAGUCUGGCAAUCUCAGCAGUCAUAUCUUUAACCUUCACACUCAAA